ensembl:snoRNA LOC120101349 small nucleolar RNA SNORA17
CUUGUCUCUAGAAACAUUAGCAGUGUGUCUACUGUGUCACAUGUGCAUCAGAAGGUAGCAGAGAGGAUGUGUCUAUACUCUGCUGUUUCCUAUGAGAAUCAGAAUGACUAAUAGCCUACCAUU